rnacentral:lncRNA from 1 species
UUAUGGGGCAGGAGCACUUAGGGGGCAGGGGCACUUAUGGGGCAGGAGCACUUAUGGGGCGGGGGCACUUAUGGGGCAGGGACACAUCACUAUGGGGCAGGAGCACUUAUGGGGCGGGGGCACUUAUGGGGCAGGAACUCACCCAGGGAGUGGCGGGAGACAUCGGGGACGUUCUCAUAUUGCUCGGGGGGGGUGGCUGUGGGGCAAUCAGUGGGGUCAGUGGGAUCUAUGGGGUCAGUGGGGUGUAUGGGGUCAAUCAAUGGGGUCAGUGGGGCAAUCAGUGGGGUCAGUGGGAUCUAUGGGUUCAAUCAAUGGGGUCAGUGGGGUGUAUGGGGUCAGUCAAUGGGGUCAGUGGGGCAAUCAGUGGGGUCAGUGGGGUGUAUGGGGUCAAUCAGUGGGGUCAGUGGGAUCUGUGGGGUCAGUGGGGCAAUCAGUGGGGCCUAUGGGGUCAGUGGGGCAAUCAGUGGGGUCAGUGGGAUCUAUGGGGUCAGUCAGUGGGGUCAGUGGGGUGUAUGGGGUUAAUCAGGGGGGUUAGUGGGUUUUAUGGGGUCAGUCAAGGGGGUCCGUGGGAUCUAUGGGGUCAGUCAAUGGGGUGAGUGGGGCAAUCAGUGGGGUGUAUGGGGUCAGUGGGGUCUAUGGGGCCAAUCAAUGGGGUCAGUGGGGCGUAUGGGUGGGAUCUAUGGGGUCAGUGGGAUCUAUGGGGUCAGUCAAUGGGGUCAGUGGGGUGUAUGGGGUCAAUCAGUGGGGUCAGUGGGAUCUAUGGGGUCAGUGGGGCAAUCAGUGGGGUCAGUGGGGUGUAUGGGGUCAGUCAGUGGGGUCAGUGGGGCAAUCAGUGGGGUGUAUGGGGUCAGUGGGGUCUAUGGGGCCAAUCAAUGGGGUCAGUGG